CUCUCCCAGCCCAGCCCUCCCCCCAUCCCGGCGCCCUGGAGGCAGGGAGCCUUCGCACCGGCCCGAUGGGGAAGGCGAGAACGGUUAUUCGGUGCCUGGCUCCUUGGCGGGGCUGGACGCGUCUGCGCUUUGGUAGCCAACCGCCUGCAUCCAUCCAGCCCAUCCAGCCGGCUGUAGGAGGUGUGCGAUCUGGUUGCUCAAACGUGCUCCCAGGAACCGAGGUUAUCACCUGGGGGAAAGCCGGUAUCUGCCUGCGGGGUGCCCCCAGGCCACUGGAGGCCCUGCUUCCAAAUCCAACCUCAACUCCCUCUCCAGGGUCGUGACCCUGGCUACCAGAUGCUUCCUGUUAGCUGCCUGUACUGGGGCCUUUCCUGGCUGAAAAGACACUCUGCCCUAGGACUCCUUCAACCUUGACCUUGACUCUGCUUGCCCUCUCUGGAUCCCUACUGCGCUGAUCUUAGAUUCACAAUUUUCCUUUUUUAAAAUUAAAAAAAAAAAAUUUCCCUGAAAAAUAUAAAAUAUCUUAACGGCCUUUACCUUGCAAAAUCAACUAUCUUUUUAAAAAAUAUAUAUGUAAAUUAAAUUGAAUUCACAUAUUCUGUAUUAUUAGCUUCAGAGGUAGAAUUUAGUGAUUCAUCAGUUGCAUAUCACACCCACAAAAUUAGCUGUCUUUUACAUUUUGGUAUAUUUGCUCCCAAUUGUUUUUUUAAAAAACAAAUCAUUUGUUUUUUUUUGCAAAAGUGAUACAAAACAUGUACACUGUAAAAAUUUUAAAGUAAUGCAGAAAAAUACAGAAAAUAAAAAGAAACCAAAGUUUUUUCA
rnacentral:lncRNA from 12 species